rnacentral:rRNA from 1 species
CACGUAGGGCGCAAGCGUUGUCCGGAAUUAUUGGGCGUAAAGAGCUCGUAGGCGGUCUGUUGCGUCCGCUGUGAAAACCCGGGGCUUAACCCCUGGCUUGCAGUGGAUACGGACAGACUAGAGGUAGGUAGGGGAGAAUGGAAUUCCCGGUGUAGCGGUGAAAUGCGCAGAUAUCGGGAGGAACACCGGUGGCGAAGGCGGUUCUCUGGACAGUUACUGACACUGAGGCACGAAGGCCAGGGGAGCAAACGGG